UUUAGUGGCGGACGGGUGAGUAACGCGUGGGCAACCUGCCUUACACAGGGGGAUAACACUUAGAAAUAGGUGCUAAAACCGCAUAAGCGCACAGCUUCGCAUGAAGCGGUGUGAAAAACUCCGGUGGUGUAAGAUGGACCCGCGUCUGAUUAGCUUGUUGGCGGGGUAACGGCCCACCAAGGCGACGAUCAGUAGCCGGCCUGAGAGGGCGGACGGCCACAUUGGGACUGAGACACGGCCCAGACUCCUACGGAAGGCAGCAG
rnacentral:rRNA from 1 species